ensembl:snRNA U6 U6 spliceosomal RNA
GUUUGCUUCAGCAGCCCAUAUACAAAAAAUGCAAUGAUGCAGAGAAGCUUAACAUGGUCCUGUGCAAGAAUAACAUGUACAUUUGUGAAGUGUUCUCUAUUUUU